rnacentral:lncRNA from 1 species
ACAAGGGAAAAAAAAGGAAUAUAAGAAAGCAACUGUGAAUCUGAGGCUUCAUUUUGAGUUUUCCCCCAAAACAAAAAGGGGAAAACUAAAAGCCUGAUAGGUUACCUUUUUCUAACAAGGAACAACUGUCUCUACUUCGGGUUGCAUGCUUUCUCAAGUUUGAGUUUAGACAGACCACUCUUUUGUGAAUCUUUGCAUAAAGGGUCAUUGAAUAAUGGUCAGAGGCAUUGUCUUUGAAUGUUUUACAGAUAUGCUGAGGUUUGUACUUAGAACUUCUCAUUUUACAUUCAGCCUUUCAGUGAAAGGCGAACGUGAAGCUGACAUUUUAUAAUGGCAAAACUUAGGGGGCCAGAGCUAUAAGACAUGUUCAGAAGACAGGGAUAUGUGUCUUUUUUUCUCUUGUAUUGCUCAUGGUACCUAGCACAAAGUUGGAGAUGUGAUAGACUCUUUAAUACAGGUAUUCUUAUAUGGUUUACCAUGGCAAAAUCAACUUUCAAUUUUGUUUGGUUUUCAGAGUACUUUUCAUGAUAAAAAGGUUCAUUUGUUUUACUCUCAGAGCAUGCUCUGAGCUGAGAAUUAUAAACUAAAGGAGAAAAUAAUGAUGAGCAAAUAAUUGCCCAGGCUCCUAUGGAGAGUUCUCAGUAGAGCUGGAUUUGGUAACUUGAUGAGUUGUCACUGGCAAAUUUAGCAUUCACAUGUCAGACCUAGAAUAAUGCUAGAUGCUUAUCCCUCUCGUAUGGGAGCAGCCAGGAAGUCAGAAGAGGACCACAGACAGAGCGUUUGUUGGUGACAAGGGCUUUCAUAUCUUCAGAACUUGGCAAUAAGUAUUUUUAAAUAAUGGGAAGAAUGAAUUAUUUGAUUUCUGUGAAUUUAAAUUGCAAAAAUGAAAUAUGUGGGAGAAAACAGGUGCCUCCAUCUUUAACUGGAAUUGACAAAGCAGCAUUCACAAAGUGGCAACAAUUUCCUUUGACAUUUAUGAUUGCCCUAAUGCUGUUAAUCAGUGUGAGAUUAUUAUUUUUCCUUUCACAAAUGGAGAAACUGAGGUUCUGAGGGGUGAAGUGAGCUUACCCCAUUCCACAAAACUUGUAACUGCUGAUUCCCAGUUCUUUGUUCAUUUUAUUAGGCCAUGGAUGUUUCCUUAAAUAUAUUUCUCUGGGAAUAAAAUUCUCUUACAGAUCUUCUAGAAAUGGGGAUCUUGGCUUUCUGAAAUGAAAUUAUGUAUGGGCCAGAAGCCAGGAGAUGGAACGUGUGCUUUCUUACGUGUUUUCCUUCCAGCUUCCUUAGUCACGAUUCUUCAUUAUAACUUUGGUAUCUCUGAUAUUGAGUUAACUUUGACGAUGGUAUGGAUGAUGGUGGAUGGGUGGUACAUACAACUUUGAAGCACAUGAUGACUCUCUGGCCACCUACUUUAUUCUCGUAUUUCCCAAGAGGAGGUAAAUACUUCAUUUUAGAGAAACUGGACUCUAACCUAAAGUGGCCGAGAAGUCUAACCUGCAUUGUAAUCUUCAUCAAAUGAAAACACUUUGUUCUUAAAAGUACACUUGUUCCUUCUUCUUGCCCUUGACAAUUUUCUGUUUGAAGCAGCAAGGAACAGAGGAAAGAUAACAUAGUUUAUUCUAUGGAUUUCUACCAGUUCAAUUUUUAAAGUGUUAGCCUCUUAAAAUAAAUGUUUUCAUAAAAGAUCAUGAAGAAACUCGGAUUUUUGUCACUCCAUCAAUAUGUAGGAGGAGGGUAUGUCUGGGUAAGAGCCAAACAAUUAAGGUGUUACUGACCAGAAGUCUCUUGGUUUGCUGUCAUAAAAUGUCACAACUAUCAGCAACCACAAAAUCUUCAAUAAAUGGCACUGCAGACAGAAAUUUUUCUUAACAGUCUGGGUUUGUGAAUUCUCUUUUUUCCUUUCUGGUUUCCCUCUGUAGAUGUCUCUUUCUUCCUUUGUGCUUGGUCUCUCUGUUUCUCUUACUAACAACACACAUAUUUCUCCAUCUCUGUAUCAUCAUCUUCUAUUAGUUUUUCACAAGUGUAUUUCUGUGACUAAAAGGAUCAACAGAUGCUGACUUCAAUAUUGUGAAGCAUCCAGAAAAAGAACAAUUAAUUUAUAACAAACCUGCUUUGCUCUAACACUGACAGCUUUUGAAAAUGUAUACUGUAUGUGAGAUCCACAUCUCAUUUUGUUUUCAUUUAGAUGGUCAACAGCAUUUAACUCGAAGUUAGGUUUAAAUUCCCCCCAUGAGACUUGUCAGUUUUUGUCAGAAAUAAAACCAAUGAAUAUUUCCAUUUUAAAUAUUUAAAAGACCUUUUAAAUAAUGUGUUGAUAUUUUUGCUUGCAUUUUUGUUAUUAUCUUAACACUCUCUAUUGCUAUCUGCUUCAAUAUAGGAAAAAUGCAGUUACAAAUGUUUCCUGGUUAUAGUUAUUAAGAAUUAUCCCUAAUCUUAGGCUAGAUAUAUACAGAAGAUAAUCGUGUUCUAGAGUGUUCCUGCUGAAUAAAGUUGCCACUUAAUAAGAAACAGAUAUCAUGACUAGGUUGCCCUUGGAACUAACUGUCCAAGCGUGAACAAAUAUAUAUACUACAUCACACAUACACUCACAGUGCACAACACACUUAUACACUUCUCACAUACUCGCCUUUCUUUUACAACUUUCUGGCUCAGCAUGCCCAUGUCAUGAGCUAAUUCUGACCUAACAGAGAGGCUGUGCAGUCUUUCAGCUAGUGGAGGCUGAGAAAAUUGUGCAGCAAUAGGUCCAGUCCCUGGAAGAUGAAGUUAGUUAGCAUUUGGUGCCCAGCCAGCAGCAAUGUGACUUAGGCUUUUCGUCCUAGUAGGUAUGGAGUUCUGCUCUGAGCAACAAUUCAUUUAUUUUGUGCCAAUAUUCUGACUAGCUCAUUCUAGAAUCUUCUAUUUUGGUCAGAAUCUGUCCUAUAUUCUUGGCUGUGGUUCAAUUCUUUCAAUCAAAGAUCUGCCUAAUCCUGUUUUCCCAUAGCUAAUGUUGACAGGGUUCACCACGCCAUCUUCAUCUCCGCCCCCACUUCUCAUCUUCAGCCCAAACCAAUCUUCAUCUCUAUCUUCAUCUUUACUUCCAUCCACACAGCAAUCUUCAACUCCAUCUACCAAUACCAGUCUUAAGCUCCUGUGCCCCACCAUCCUCAGUCAUAGCAGUGCUCGAUGUGAUAACCUAAUCAAAAAUUUCAAACCAAACUGCCCAGCAUUCAUGGUUGUAAAGGACAUGUAGAAUCAGUCAACUGAUAGAUACAAAGUAACACUGAAACUGAUUGAGCAAUAAUCAGAAAGUUGGCGCUGCAAUAGCUUCCUCAGUUGUACCUCUCUGUCCACCGCCCAGCUCUUUCCUGUUGCUUCCAGUUCCUCUCACUUGUACUUCUUUAUUAACUAUUUGUUAACAUAACUUUCUAUGGUUUUCUUUCACCUAAGACCCAAACCUCUUCUCCUGGCUUGCAUUUCCACGACUCCCUGCCCAAGCCUGAGGUUGCACAAGAAACAUAUCUCUAAUUAAUGUCCCCUGUUCCAGGAAUUUGACUCAUUGGGCCUGCAAAAGAUUUUCGUGACAAAUGAAAUAUUUUUCUAAACCAAGGACUUGGGGAUAACUUCAGGGUCAAAGACAUCUUAUCAUAUUUAAGAACAGCCACAGGAUGUCUAGGAGCCAGCAGAGGGGCCAGAUAUGCUGCAGUUUAUGCUGUAAAAGGAAGCCUGCCGCCGUGAGUGGUCCAGUGGGAGCUCUUGCUUUGUGUCCUCAGCCUUUCACCUUUCCAUCUGAUGACUUGCUCUGAAUCUUCACUUCCUGGGCAGAGCUCUGAGUAUAGAUGAGGCAAACUUCACAUGGAAAAGAAGCCAUAUUUUGAAAAAACUACACGGAAUCAAAGAGAACUAACUCAAAGAAGCAAAAUUUUGGAGAUAAAACAAGGUAUCUGAUAGCAGUAGUGAUCUCAGGGUGGAUGACCCCCUACUGUUGCUCCUUCUUUUAAAUAAAACUCUUACUUGCAGGAGACAUACUGAAUGUAUUUGACCUUGGUGGCAGCUGGAAUUCAAAAAUCCUGGGUUGUGUUAGUUGACUAAGACAACAUUGUAGUACUGGUAGAGAAUUCUAAAAUCAGAAGAGCUUCAAUCUCUUCUAAUCUAAUUGACUAUGGAGAUUCAGGCAAGUUAUUCUGCCUCUGAGCCAGAUUUAAUUUCCUUAUCUAUAAUGUAAGGAGAAAAUCAAUAACUUUAAUAUUCUCUGAUUCAAAAUGUAAGCAAACAGAGGAAGGUGAUUGGCAACUUAGUUAAUUGGCAGGGUUAUUGGUAAAGAGUGAACACUGGGCAUUAUCCUUAAAGGUUAUGACAUUUGGAUAACCAUCUUGCAUCUUGGUCCAGUAGGCCAGCUACAGUAAUUGCUGUGGGUUAUGCUGAGUCUAGGACUGGAUUCCAAUUAAGCUGUGAUUUUUCACCAGUGCUAACUGUGGAAGGGCAGAUCCAUACAGAGCAUUCCUCAGCUAGGUAGUUUGAAUUAUUCCUAGACAGAUGCCUCCCAUUGAAGAGCACCUGGCAUUUUUACUAAGAGGAGAUCUAGCCAUUCUAGCAACUCUGAUUCACUCUCCUUUUGUUCAUCAUCUAUAUUUCUCCAUGGCUAUCCUUCCAAAGAGAAGCUAUUGCUAUAGUACACCUAACCAGAACAACUUUACCUCAAGGACACAGCUUUAUUAUCUGCUGAGGACCCUGAUCUAAUACUGUCAGGGUAGAGCCUGGUGUUCUGGGGAAAAUUUCAGGUUAUUAAAGCCAGUCCUAAUGGUUGGCUUAGAUAUGGCCUCUGUCUUGAUUUCCCUGCAUAGAACUUCUAUCUUUUAUUAAUUUGGUGCCAGUUGUAUAUUUUAAAGGGAGAGCUGUGGGUCUUGAUUUAAACCUGUAUAUACAUACAAGUACCUUGUUUUGUUAAACUACAUUGUCUUGCUCUUGUCAGUUUUAUCCUUAGAGGUCUGGACGUGCCCCAUCUCUGUACUUGAUUCUGCUGAGAAUACAGAGGUUGACAGUACCAUCAUGGCACACUACUCUGUGUGCACUGACCUAGGGCCUGGCACGCCUCAUAUAGAUACCUCCUAUCCCCUUUGUGCCUGCAUUUGUCUCAACCACAGGCCACAGUAGCUAACAUUCUCAGCUUUUGACCCACUAAUUUUUGGCUUUUGCCCAUCCCCAUUGACUCCCAUGUAGACCCUAUGUUCACCAGAAGGAUCCUCAUGUCUGCAGACUACAUUAAGAGGGAGGAUAUGCCUCUGUGAAUCCAACUGAUAGGUAUCUCCUGUGUGCCAGGGAAUGGCAGGGCCAUGGCUCUCUCAAAGCCAUGCUCAUAAAAAGCCUCCUCUGCAUCGACUUCCAGUCCCAUUUGAUUCUCAAGCAAGGAGUUCCAUCCGAGAAGGAAGCUGUCACCUGUCACUCUUUUAUGAAUUCUUAAGGACAGUGGAAGAGUUGAAAGGUUGGCAAUCACAAUGACAAUAGGCUAUUACAAGCAGGUGAAGAGCCUUCUUCUUUUGCUCCUUACCCCCAACUGCUGUUCAAAUAAUCAAAAAAGGGUCCUCAUUGAAACUGAUUUAAUUCUCAAGAGGAAUGAAAGACAUUUAAAGGGCAAGCCAACUUCAUAAAUGACAUUAAAAGGUUUUAAAAUAGUGUUUUGCUUCUAAAGGGUGUUUGUAAAUGUCAGAGGUAACAUAUUGAUUACAGUCCUGGCAGUUCUUGCUCAGGGCUUCUUAGCUGUCUUUGGCUUAACUCAUGCUGUUGACUUAUGCUCAUGGUAUGAAAUAUCUCAGCCAUCUUACUUUGUUUGCUUAAACUUUUCCAACCUACCAGACUUUAUCCACAUGUGAAUAAAAGGUACCAUCAAAUUAGUGGUGUUUAUAAUUUUUGUGCUUUUUAAUGUCUCGUGAAUUAUAUAAAGUUACGAAAAUGGCUAUAGGAAUUGGCCUACAAACUCUUGAGAUGUCCUAUAAGUUCCUACAAGAUAUUGAAAGUUGGUUGCUUUGAGGAUAUAAUUCUGAAUGUUGAAGCAAAUUAAAAAGCCAACUUGGAAGGGGAUACAUAAUCCUCUUUAAGUCAAGAUGAGGGGUAUAACCUCCCCCAUAUAUUCUGGGCCCAGUCGUCUGUGUUGAAAAGAACUCUGAUAGUUUAUUUGCUGAUACUAUUAAUGGGAGCCAAAAACAUUGUGGAGAAAGGUGAUAUUGUCAUCGUGAAUCUCUCUGAACUCCUGUUCCCAAUUUGUAGCCAGUAAGAGAGCAUGAUUGCUCUGACUACAGGAUUAUACUAAGUCUCUAAGGAAAUGAGAAUAGUGCACAUGUGUACUCUGAUUUAUAGUUUGCAAAGGCCAUUCAAUAAUUGGUAAAGCCGAAACCAAUGAAUUUCCUUCUGAUUUUCAGCACCAUUCAGAAUCUGGACAUAUAAUAUGUUUAUGGCAUUUAACCUAGUCAGACAGUAGAUAUUGCUCUAAGUCAUGGCCUACACCUGUGAGCCUACUUAUAUCAGCAUUUGCCAAAUGUACUUGUAGCUGUGGUACUGACCUCAGAGAACUUAGCCAAAGAGCAAAGACUGCCUAAUUCAAGAAGUACUGAGAAGAUGUUCCAGGAUUACUUCAUGCUGUCCAGGUCCUAGACAUGGAAUCGUUUGCUUCUUCAAAAGUCUGGAUCCCUUUAAGAUACGAAAUGUAUUUAGAAACCAAAGUAUGGAUGCUAGGUGUGCUCAUGGCCAUUGGAGUGUGUUUCUAGACCCAGGAAUAAGCAAACAAUGGCCUGUAAACUAUAUCCUGUCUGUGGCCUGUUUUUGUACAUCCUAAGAACUAAAAAUUAUUUUAAAAAUUGUAAAUGGGAAAAAGUCAACAACAACAAACAAAUCAACAAAUAACCCCACAAAUAAACAGUUUCUUAAAGACCAGAAUGACCAAGAAAUCUAUGAAACAGAGACCGUAUACUGCCCAGAAAGCCUAAAGUAUUUACUGUGUAUCCCUUUAUAGAAAAACUUUAUCAAUCUUGGUUCUAUUUUUAGUAUACAGAGCUAGGAAAAAUUAUUUCAUAAAUAAUACUGAGUUUAUAAAGAACU